UAUGGGAGGCACCAGUGGGGAAUUUUUGACAAUGGGGGCAACCCUGAUCCAGCCAUUCCGCGUGAGUGAAGAAGGCCUUCGGGUUGUAAAGCUCUUUUGGCAGGAAAGAAACGUUGUNGGCCAAUACCCUGCAUCAAUGACGGUACCCGAAGAAGAAGCACCGGCUAACUACGUGCCAGCAGCCGCGGUAAUACGUAGGGUGCGAGCGUUAUUCUGAAUUACUGGGCGUAAAGCGUGCGCAGGCGGUUUUGUAAGACAGAUGUGAAAUCCCCGGGCUUAACCUGGGAAAUGCGCUUGUGACUGCACGACUAGAGUGUGGCAGAGGGGGGUGGAAUUCCCCGUGUAGCAGUGAAAUGCGUAGAGAUGUGGAGGAACACCGCUGGCGAAGGCAGCCCCCUGGGUUAACACUGACGCUCAUGCACGAAAGCGUGGGUAGCAAACACGAUUAGAUACCCUGGUAGUCCACGCCCUAAACGAUGCCAACUAGGUGUUGGGGAAGGAGACUUCCUCAGUACCGCAGCUAACGCGUGAAGUUGUCCGCCUGG
rnacentral:rRNA from 1 species